AUCCUGCUGCCUCAGCCUCCCAAAGUGCUGGAUUACAAGCAUGAGCCACUGUGCCCAGCCUUAAGUUUUUUUCAUACAGGAGGAAAGAAUUUGGAAAAUAAACACAAUCUGGGAAACAUUUUAUAAUACAGAGGGCCACACCAGAUUGAAUAUUGCCCCCAGGAAUGAAAUGAAAACAGGAAUGGAUUCUCCAGUAAGAGGGUAUCACAGGGCGUCAAACUGGAAAAUGUGGCACUGCCUGGAGUUUCUACCUGGUGAAGGGUGGCAGACUUUUCUCUUCAGAGGACUCUUGACAGGGUAGCAUCCAUUAUCUUGCCAAUUUACUACAACCUAGGCCCAAUCCUCAGUCUUAUAGGUUCAGAAAUUUAUUUUUAUCAGCAUCAACAGGGUAGCUACAUUGCUUAGAAGCAAACAAAAUUAACCAUGCUUCAAUAGAAAUCAGGAUAUAGAUGUAUUAAUACAGAAUGACAAAUAUAACUGUGACAGAAAUAGGAAUGCCUGUUUAUGGUCAUAUACGGCCAAUACUUUCA